UACGGGGGGGGCAAGCGUUGUUCGGAAUUACUGGGCGUAAAGGGCUCGUAGGCGGCCAACUAAGUCGGACGUGAAAUCCCCAGGCUCAACCUGGGAACUGCGUCCGAUACUGGAUGGCUUGAAUUCGGGAGAGGGAUGCAGAAUUCCAGGUGUAGCGGUGAAAUGCGUAGAUAUCUGGAGGAAUACCGGUGGCGAAGGCGGCAUCCUGGACCGACAUUGACGCUGAUGCGCGAAAGCUAGGGGAGCAAACGGG
rnacentral:rRNA from 1 species